rnacentral:tRNA from 1 species
UGGGAUAUUAUUUGAUGGAAAAAUCCGGAUUGCUAGUCCGGCUAAUGGUGGUUCGAAUCCACUCUUCCCAA